rnacentral:rRNA from 1 species
AUUGAACGCUGGCGGCAGGCCUAACACAUGCAAGUCGAGCGGAUGAAGGGAGCUUGCUCCUGGAUUCAGCGGCGGACGGGUGAGUAAUGCCUAGGAAUCUGCCUGGUAGUGGGGGAUAACGUCCGGAAACGGGCGCUAAUACCGCCUACGUCCUGCGGGAGAAAGUGGGGGAUCUUCGGACCUCACGCUAUCAGAUGAGCCUAGGUCGGAUUAGCUAGUUGGUGGGGUAAAGGCCUACUAAGGCGACGAUCCGUAACUGGUCUGAGAGGAUGAUCAGUCACACUGGAACUGAGACACGGUCCAGACUCCUACGGGAGGCAGCAGUGGGGAAUAUUGGACAAUGGGCGAAAGCCUGAUCCAGCCAGGCCGCGUGUGUGAAGAAGGUCUUCGGAUUGUAAAGCACUUUAAGUUGGGAGGAAGGGCAGUAAGUUAAUACCUUGCUGUUUUGACGUUACCAACAGAAUAAGCACCGGCUAACUUCGUG